AACACCCGGUCCCAUUCCGAACCCGGUAGUUAAG
rnacentral:rRNA from 1 species